GUUAUGCAAUCGUUUUUUGUAUAAAUUCAUUAGUUCCUCGAGUCAAACGUUAUUUUUACGUUAGUUUACUUCGGACAUGACGUGUUCAGUGAUAUAAUGUUAUAGCCAACAACAGCAGUGGCAUGUCAGGAAUCUCCUUAAAUUGUCUGCGGUGUUUUGUGUACGUUCUCAUGUUAUUACGCUGUUCGCAAUGUAUCCGGAUAUUAGCUAUUGCACCUUUUCCUACUAAAAGCAACUGGUCUUUCAUGACGGCUGUGCUCCAUUCGUUAACCGACCAAGAUCACAUUGUAACCGUAUUCACUCCAUUUUUAAACGGCAACUAUGCGAAUUAUACCGAAAUUGAUAUUUCUGGCAACCGUCAAUGGACGCAAGUGGAUAUGGAUCUCUCAAAACGUGUCAAAGAUAUAGGAAACUUACAAAAUUUAGCAAUCAAUUCAAUGAAAUUAAACACCCAAAUUUGCGACGAAUUUUAUGCCAACGACAAAUUGAGAGAAAUUAUUAUCGCCGCAUCGUCACUGAGGAAUACUGAACAAUUCGAUGUGAUAUUGGCUCAAACCUUAAGUUCGGAUUGUUUGUCAUGUAUAGCCAGGAUUCUAAAUCUGCCGUUAAUAAAUGUACAUGCAGCACCUUCACUGGCAUUUGAGUCGCCGUUCGUGGGAGAAGAACCCAACCCUGCUUACGUGACAACUGUAUUGUCACCAUUAGGCACGCCAAAAUCAUUCCAAGAACGCGUUCUAAACUCAGCAAUCGCCUUCCAAAGUAAGUUUUACUUUUGGUUUGCGGAGGCAAUGGCCAAGAAGUUGUCUCCUAAACCGUAUGAUCUCAUCGAACCAGUUAAUCCAUCCGCUAUGUUCAUCAACAGCCAUUUAGCCAUUGAACCGGCUAGACCAAACGUGCCUAAUGUUAUUAAUAUCGGCGGAAUACAUCUGAGUGGGCCAAAAGCAAUACCGAAAGAUGUACUUGAUUUUAUUGAAAAUUCGCCGAACGGAGUGAUAUACUUAUCGUUUGGAUCGACAAUAGCUAUGUCAAAAUUACCGGAACGCAUACAAAAAUCAUUUAAGCUAGCCCUUGGACAACUACCUCAGAGAAUAUUAUGGAAAUUUGAAAGUGAAAUGGAAGACAAACCGGAUAAUGUUAUGACGAAAAAAUGGUUUCCUCAACGUGAUAUACUUGUACAUCCAAAUGUAGUAUUAUUUAUUGGGCAUGGUGGAAUAGCGGGAAUAUACGAAGCAAUUGAUGCUGGAGUACCGAUGCUAGGUUUCCCUAUGGUCUUAGAUCAACCAAGGAAUUUGGCAAAUCUCGGAGCAGCUGGAAUGGCUAUUUCAUUACAAUUAAUGAGUGUUACUGAAACUCAAAUUUUGAACUCUGUGCACGAGCUCAUAAACAAUGAAAUGUAUUCACGUAACGCCAAAACUGUUUCUGAACUAUUUAAGGACCGCCCUAUGUCACCACAAAAAUCAGUUGUCUAUUGGACAGAAUACGUAGCUCGUCAUAACCAUAAAAAGUCGCCUUAUUUGAAGUCUGAAGCCUUUGACUUAACUUGGUUUUUUUGUGCUACGGAAAAACUAAUGAACAUGUUUAUCAAUUCCAUACCGUUACAAGACGUGUAGUAGCUUUAAAAACCAUUGGAAUACCAAUGACACCGAUCGUCGUAAUCAGAGCUGCAGUUACUGUCAACUCGAGCGCUGACCAUUCCAUAAACGCAUAAGCUCUUCCACUCUCAAUCGAAUUUGAAACCAUCGAAAAAUAAAGCAGCCCAAAAUGAACGUUAACACAAAUAUCCUCGUCGUACUCGUAGCCUUAUUUUACACAACACAGGCAAAACCAUUUACAUCAGACCAAUCAGACUUGCGUCGGUUAUUCGAACAACUGCAAGACAGCACGAUUAACCUGAAAGAAAAACUAUUCCGGUCGGAUUUCCAAAAAGGAGUAGACAAGUUGGUGGAUAAGAUCAAAGAACCCUUGAGUGAGAUUGAUGAUUUGAUGCAAAAAUGGAGAAAUCGAGUUUUCGGUCAACCCGAUGCCAAGUUAACAGAAUUAGUCGACAACUGGAGAGCCGGUGCAAAAGAUGCGUUUAAUAAUAGUGUUAAAAUACUCAACAGUAACGUAGAAAAAAUCGUCGAUACCAAACUACAAGACAAAUUCAAAAACGCCGUAGACAGCGCUGUCGAUAUUUUGAAAAAAACCGAAAAUGAUAUCUUGAAAUACGCUGGCAAGAAAGAUUAUCGAUAAUUAAGCCUGUGUAUGGAUGCCGAAUUAAAUUUUAAUAAAAUGUACUAAUCCUAUUUUUUUUUAUGCCAAUUUAUAACAUGAAUCCAUUUGAUGUUUUACUAUAAGUAUUACUUAUUUUGUAAUGAAGUGACAAUUUUUUUCUAACAUGUUUGUAAUGAUUGUCCUAAUAUUAAAUAUUACCUAUUAUUCAUAAGUAAUUUUUACAUUUUUUUCUAGUAAUAUAUCUUAUUUUAUACAAUUAAAAUUGUAUGGUAGUAAGAAUAUUAUUUUUUUAAUUUAUCGACUUAUUUAUAUUCAAUAACAAUAUUUUUUUAACACACAUUAUAUUACUGUAAGGCACAAUCUUGUAUUAUAUUAUUAUCUAUAUACAAUCC